rnacentral:rRNA from 1 species
AGAACGAACGCUGGCGGCAUGCCUAACACAUGCAAGUCGAACGAGACCUUCGGGUCUAGUGGCGCACGGGUGCGUAACGCGUGGGAAUCUGCCCUUGGGUUCGGAAUAACAGCGAGAAAUUGCUGCUAAUACCGGAUGAUGACGUAAGUCCAAAGAUUUAUCGCCCAAGGAUGAGCCCGCGUAGGAUUAGCUUGUUGGUGAGGUAAGAGCUCACCAAGGCGACGAUCCUUAGCUGGUCUGAGAGGAUGAUCAGCCACACUGGGACUGAGACACGGCCCAGACUCCUACGGGAGGCAGCGAGGUAGGGAAUAUGGAAC